GGACUACUGGGGUAUCUAAUCCCGUUCGCUCCCCUGGCUUUCGCGCCUCAGCGUCAGGACACCCCCAGCGAGCUGUCUUCACCAUUGGCGUUCCAAGUGAUAUCUACGCAUUUCACCGCUCCACCACUUGUUCCGCUCGCCCCUGAGUGCCUCGAGAUGUCCAGUAUGCCCAGCAGUUCCACGGUUGAGCCGUGGGAUUUCACAAGACACUUAAACAUCCGCCUACGCGCGCUUUAAGCCCAGUGAUUCCGCCUAACGCUUGGCACCUCUGUAUUACCGCGGCGGCUGGCAC
rnacentral:rRNA from 1 species